rfam:Ophiophagus hannah scaffold780.1, whole genome shotgun sequence.
UGCCAGACUCCUUAUGGAAGACUAGUGAUUUUGUUGUUUCUGUAGCUCAUCUCAUGACAACAAGUCGCAGUCUGCCUUAUGGGGUCUGGCC